AAAAAAAAAAAAAAAAAAUGGAAAAAAUCGCGAAAAGACUUGCUUUCUCGGCGAUUUGUUUUUGAUUUUUUUUUUCUCUUUUUGUUACGUUGGAAUAUACUAUAAACAUAUAUAUUAAGAGAAAGAAAAUGGAAACAAAUUUGAAAAAAAAAAAAAAAUUAUAAUUAUGUAAAGCUGAAAUGGACGAUAAGAAAAAAAAAAAAAUAAUAAAAAAAAAAUUUGGCGCGUAGCAAAUAAAGUACUUUUGUUUUUAUUUUUUAAUUCGUUAUUGUUUUUUGUUUUAUUCGACGACUCGUCGUCGUUCCUCUCCGUUCCUCUUGUACCGUAAUCGCUACCAGAUUCACAACGUCGGCGGCGUGACCGCGUGGAGGCGGGCGAUUUACACGAUACAUAUCGCCCCCUCCAAAACUCUCACCCCGGAAUCUCGAUCGACGAACUCGCGGACCUGUCCGAUCGUCCGGACACGCGCCGGGUGAUUGUGAAUUUUUCGAUCGGUGUCCGCGAUAUUAUCGCCGG